rnacentral:rRNA from 1 species
GACGAACGCUGGCGGCGUGCUUAACACAUGCAAGUCGAACGGAAAGGCCCUGCUUUUGUGGGGUGCUCGAGUGGCGAACGGGUGAGUAACACGUUAGUAACCUGCCCUUGACUUUGGGAUAACUUCAGGAAACUGGGGCUAAUACCGGAUAGGAGCUCCUGCUGCAUGGUGGGGGUUGGAAAGUUUCGGCGGUUGGGGAUGGACUCGCGGCUUAUCAGCUUGUUGGUGGGGUAGUGGCUUACCAAGGCUUUGACGGGUAGCCGGCCUGAGAGGGUGACCGGCCACAUUGGGACUGAGAUACGGCCCAGACUCCUACGGGAGGCAGCAGUGGGGAAUAUUGCACAAUGGGCGGAAGCCUGAUGCAGCAACGCCGCGUGCGGGAUGACGGCCUUCGGGUUGUAAACCGCUUUCGCCUGUGACGAAGCGUGAGUGACGGUAAUGGGCAAAGAAGCACCGGCUAACUACGUG